rnacentral:lncRNA from 1 species
ACUAAAAAUAUACCAGAAUUUUUUUCUGUUGUAAUAACUUUCAGGCCACAGGAAAAAUCCUAUAAAAUCCUUAAAAGUAGUUUACUACUAUUUUUACAAGUUCUCAACAAAUUAGGUGGAAAGAUUGCUUCUGAGAAAUCUCAAAAGGUUUUCUAGAGUAUCAAAAAAUGAUGUACUUUGGGGUAGAUUUUUACCACUGAAAAAUAUAAAAUUUUUCUUAAGUAAAAAUACGGUAUCUUAUUAUCACUUACACAUUCCUUAAAGUUAGAGACAGUUUUCUAGUCCAUUGCUACUUAAAAUAUCUCAUCUAAGCUGGGCAUAUUGGCACUUACAUGUAAUCCCAGCAAUUAGGGAGGCUGAGGCAGGAUUGCAAGUUUGAGGCCAGCCUCUGCAACUUAGCAACACUCUCAAAAUAAAACAUUAAAAGGACUGGAGAUGUAGCUCAGUGGUAGAGCACCCGUGGGUUGAAUCCCCGGUAAACCCCCCAAACCUGCACCCCUCAAGACAUCUCAUCUAUUAUAAUAAACAAAUUAUCCAUACCAGAUGAAAAUGGAAGCCGUUGAAACUAAUGGGAAUGCAGCUUGCCCUGGUCAGGUAAGUUUUCCUGCUGUAGUUUUUGUAAAUUAUUUCAAGGUUAGGAUAAUGUUUCCUGAUGUUUUCCAUAAUUAGUAAUGAGUUACAUCCCCGGUCCUUUUUAUUUUGAGACAGGGUCUUGGUAAGUUGCUGAGGCUGGCCAUGAACUUGUCACUUACUGACUUCUUAUUUAUUUUCAGUACUAGGGAUUCAACUCAGGGCCUUGCACAUACUAGGCAAGCAAUCUACCACUUAGCUACAUCCCCAGCCUGCCGAUUUCUUAUUCUUUAUUUUUAAAAAAGUAAAGCACAUUUUAAAGUCUAUCUAAGUACAUACUCAAAGCUUUUAAAGAAUUGAGCCUGUUCUCUCUUUAUUGUAGCUUCUUCCAGCAGAAAUAUCUUCGCUACAUUCCUUCAACUCUUCACAUGAAAAAUCUUUAAACUAUGUGCCCUGGAAAAAGGGAUUUUUAAAUAUGGAAGCAUUUUCAACUUUUGAUAGCCUCACAAAAUCAAAGUGGGAUGAAAAACUCUUAAGUUGAUGAGUAUAAUAAAGGAAAUCAGUCUGGCUCUGUCCCAAAGUAAUUAUCGCGAGUCUUGUCUCUAGUUCUAUUGUCAUUCCAUUCUCCUGUGGGCAGAGGUCUGACAAGAACUUGGGUUCUCAUUCUUAUUGCCAGCCCCAAUGAUUAUAAAACUAGCUGGACAAACUUUUCCCUUUUGAUGGUGUUCACUGCUUCAGUUGGAAGAGACAGAGCCUCUCCUGCUCAUGGAAAGACUUUGUUUUCCCUCUAUGGAUUUAUAAUAGCCUAAGGGUAAAACUAUACUGUAAUGAACCAUAUGGUAAAUGCUUUAGAGGAAUACUUUUUAAACCUUAAAAGUGUGGUGCAGAAAUUUCUAAGAAAUAAAUCCCCAUCCAACUCUAAAACCCUAACUGGGUCAAUUUAUUUGGUAAUCAUUUAACUUUCAAUACUUGCUCACUAUGUCUGGAAUCCCAAUAAAAGUGACCUCACUAUAAUUCCUGCUUUGAUUGGUGUAACUGGUGACACAUUAAAUGCAAGUUUCAACAACACAGUGUAUCUCUAUUAGAGAUGUAUCAUUAAAGAUCCAGGAUUUAGCAAGAGGCUCUGUAUUUUAGGAAAGCAAUAGUAAGAAUUUAAAGCAUUUAAACUAUAAACAACUGAGGUUUAUUUUGUAUGACCAGGAAUUCUCAACUUGAAGCUCUAUUAUGGGUUGAACUGCAUCCCCCAAAAAAGAUUUGCUGAAGUCUUCACCCCCAAUAAUUAAUUCAGAAAGUGAUCUUAUUUAGAAACAGAGUCUUUACAGAGGUAAUUAAGUUAAAAUGAGGUAACUAUAGUGGGUUCAAUUCUAAUAUGACAGGUGUUAUAUAAAAGCGAAAUAUAUAGGCUGAGGUUGUGGCUCAGUGGUAGAGCACUUGCCUUGCACGUGCGAGACCCUGGGUUCAAUCCACAGCACCACAUAAAAAUAAAUAAGUGAAAUAAAGAUAUUGUGUCCAACUACAACUAAAAAUUAAAUAUUUUUUAAAAGGGAAAUAUGUAUAGAGAUACACAUAGAAGACAAUAUGGAGAGACAUAGGGAGACCCCCCCCCCAUGUGAAGACAAAAGAUUGAAAUGAUGUAUCUACAAGACUGUCAGCAGUUAGGAGACCUGGAGGAGAUCCUUCCCUAGUACCUUCAGAGGGAGCAUGGCUCCACCAACACCCUGAUCUUGGACUUCUGGUCUCUUGAACUGUGAGACAAUAGGUACCUGUUGUUUCCAGUUACCCGGUUUGCAGUCCUUGUUAAGGCAGUACCAGAAAACUAAUAUAACACCCUCCCAAAACUAUACAUUUUCUUCUUCAUACAUAGGAGGGUCUUUCAUGACUGUUAAUUUUUUAUUUUAUCUUUCAUGUUUGAACAUGGAUUUGUAGGAUCUUUUAUAAGAUCUUAAAAAUCCUACGACUAUUGAUAUUUUAAAAAUUAAUAUCCAUUUAACAUUGAUCCUGAAUAUAUAAGAACAAUGUCAAUGAUCCCCCAAGUUUCGUAGCAAUGGACUCUAUUUUCAGGUCAAAUUAACAUUAAUAAGAAAGUCUGGGGCUGGAGUUGUGGCUCAGUGGUAGAGCACUUGCCUGGCAUGUGAGGCCCUGGGUUUAAUCCUUAGCACUGCAUAUAAAUAAAUAGGUAAGUAAAAUUUAAAAAAAAAAUGGAAGUCUGAAGCAACAUCUUUAUAGAGAGGAAAUAAGAAUACAUAAAGAUAAGAAAUAUGAAUAGAUUGGGUAUUAAAAUUCAUUUAACUUUUUGUAAAGUUAUAAGGUAAUCAGUAAAUGCAAUUUGUUUUAUUUGAUUGAUUGAUUGAUUGGUACUGGGGAUUGAACCCAGGGGUGCUUUACACUGAGCUACAUCCCCAUUCCUUAUUUUUUAUUUUGAGACAGGGUCUUGCUAAGUUGCUGAAGCUGGCUUUGAAUUUGCAAUCCUCCUGCCUCAGUCCCCCAGUCACUAAGAUUAUAGGUGUGUGCCACCAUGUCUGGCAAAUACUUUUAUUUUUGAAAUUAGUAUAUUUAGUUCAAUCAAUGUUUCUUUUAAAGCAUUCUCAAAUAUGUUAGCUUACUUUUUUGUUUUAAGUUUAAUAUUCACUAAUCUCCUUUCUAUCUAAUUAAGAAACUUAGGUUUUAAAAUUUCCCUAUUAUCUCCAACUGAUCAUUAAAAUCAUAUCCCA